rnacentral:tRNA from 1 species
GGGCCUGUAGUCGAAUGGUAAGACGCCGCCCUCGCACGGCGGAGACUCCGGGUUCGACGCUUCAAUGGAAAAGUUCACGGAAAUCCCGGCGGGUCCA